UACGUAGGGCUCAAGCGUUGUCCGGAAUUAUUGGGCGUAAAGAGCUCGUAGGCGGCCUGUUACGUCUGCUGUGAAAUCCCGGGGCUUAACCCCGGGCGUGCAGUGGAUACGGGCAGGCUGGAGGCAGGCAGGGGAGAACGGAAUUCCCGGUGUAGCGGUGAAAUGCGCAGAUAUCGGGAGGAACACCGGUGGCGAAGGCGGUUCUCUGGGCCUGUACUGACGCUGAGGAGCGAAAGCGUGGGGAGCGAACAGG
rnacentral:rRNA from 1 species